AGCUGCCUUGUGCGCACGUAACUUAUUUAAUUCAAAUCAAAUAUAUUUUCGUUGUUCGGCAAAAUGUGGGAAGUAGUGUUGAGAUACUGAAAGUGCAAACCUCCUAUGCAUUUAGCUUUUUCCAUUACCCUUUCACGGAGAAAAGCUGUAACAACAGUGCACUAAAUUUGAGCACUGGGUCCUACAAUAUUUAAAAUAUUUAUACACUAACAUUGAAAUCGAGUGGAAAAUAUUUAAGUUUUAAGCUUAAGUGGUAGCAUUUGGAUAUUUACUUUUCCCUCGACCCACGGACAUCUUCCCCCCUGGAUUACCAAUGCUAGACACGAGUCAACAACAUGUGCAUUUUACGAGCAAAAUGACAACUGGGAAUCGGAAGAAAGGAGCGACACAUUGUUGAUAUCUUGGGAAAAAUCGUAUGUAUAUAACUAGCUACCCCCUUUGCAUGAUGAUUUUAUUCAAACCCAAGUCCAUACCUACGUUGCAACUAAUUUUACGUUUUUAUUACAGUCCUGAUACGUGACGUAACGGAGCUUACGAACAUGGGAAUCAUAGACUGAAUUCAGUCACGCGUGACCAAUAAAAUAUUGAAUACGUAUACAACAUCAGUGCAGUAUCAGGUUUAGUUUAGUUACUUUGGAAUAUACCCAGGUUAAAUAACAUAAGUUUCUGUUUAUAAGCGGACUUAGCAGUGAAAAACCGGUACAAUAAUUCCCACAAUAACUUUGCAAUAGGGCCACCUACAGUAGUCAUUGUUUUGCCAUCCAUCCCUUAUUAUCCCAUUUCAUUUGACUCCCAUUCUAAUUAUGCAAUAACCUUCAGGGACUCGUAAACUGUACCUGUCACACCUUGAGAAGCCGUCUUUGCUGCAUUCGGUAUCUGGGUUAACGAUAAAUUUCAAAUGGUGUCAGGUCCUUGUUAGGGACCUUGCCACGCCCCCGCCACCUCAGACACAUCGAAGGCCAGCUGGGUGCAUGAGCCCCGCCGAGCUCUAGUUUUGCUUGCCUCUAAGCGCUCGGUUGUUCGGUGCUCUGACUGGCCAUGGUCUACUACCACAGAUACAUGUUCCACUGCUUCCUCCUACUCAGCCUCCUUACAAAAUGCAGAGCCCAAAAGCAAAAUAAAGACCAGGGACAUCAAAAAACAAAAGAAAACGCUAUAUUAGGAUUUCCUUGGCUUUCAGAUAUACAUACUUACUAAGCCAGUGGUAGAAAACAUUUUCCAGAGAAAUGGUAAAGUAGAACAAAAACCAGUAUAUUUUUAUAAUAAUGGGCAUGAUAGCUUUCUGCAGUUUGUAAACGUAAUUGGACGUGUCCAUAUUUUUAUUGGCGUCUCUAAACUCUAUAUUUCUUAUCUCAACUUUCUAGAACACAGCGCUUAUACUGACAGACGGACCUGGGCAGAUCGACUCAUCUACUAUUGCUUCAAAUUAAGAAUACCUAUUUAGUAGUUAGUUACUCUGUUACAUACGAGUAACGGGUAUAAUUAUAGAAAUCAUGCACAGCUCCAUUUCUGCAACAAUUGAUCAUUGUCCUAACUGGAUGUACUUUUUUAAAUUUUUGAUACGCCUUUUUUGAUUUUACGUGAUUUACUAGCUGCGCAAAGGCUACUUAUAAGCUUACGAUAUUAACUCCGUUGAACUUUGCAAAUUGCGAACGAGCCUAUAAACCAGAUGCACAUUUCCGUCCCUUUCUCUAGAGCAUUCGGCUGGGGUAACCCUAACUAACCUCCAACGCUCGGCCAGACCAAACAGACAGACCGCCCUGUCGCCCUACAUUUCGAUAACUGGCAAGUUCCGGCCUUGAUUUUCAGCAGUGACCCGCUUUUGUGUUUGUUGCUCUUCUCUAUACCCUUGCAGAGCGUAUAUUGAUGAAGGUCACAAGUUUGAAACGCAGUGAAGGACAUUUGCGCCCAUAUAAUUAUAUGGUCAGUAUUAACAGCUAAGUGGAUAUAUCAUAUAGUCUGAAAAUGACUAGCUUAUUAAUGGAAACGAAAUCACAGUUUCGUUGUUUUUAAUUAUAAAGGUAUUUUGCCAAAUGCCCGCCAGAAUUGUUUUUAAUCGAAUCAAUGCAAAUCCAUGAAGCCAGGGGAAAUCAUCAACAAACAUAUUAUCUGGGGAUUGCAAACCACUUUUUUUUAAAAAUAUUUUCUAAAAAUGCAGGUCAAACUCAACCUCCCACCGGAAAAUAAAUCAAAAUAGAUUUCAAUUUGCGGUUUACGAUCUGAUUGUUCCGUGUGUUUUGUUUGUGGCUGGCUUGGGGUCAGAGUGAAAAUCCAGUUCGGGAGAAACAAAAAAAAAAAGUAUCCUUUAUAUAGUGAAAGAGUCGGGUACCCUGUAGCUGACUCGUUGGGGAAAGAAAAGGGAAACUUCCAUCAAGAACAAUACAAUUAAUUCCAGCUCUAGCCGCAGCUAAAGUUCGCUGGUGGGGAACAUCACCGGCAGACCGCAAGCAUAUAGAUGCAGCCACUUUGCUAGACGAUGGAUGAGGUAACUUUUUUAAACCAGCUAUAGUUUAGGGUUUAUAAGGACUUAUUUUUUGAAAAAUUAAUUCUUAAAUAGGGAACAAAGAUUUUUUUCGUAUUUGCUAAUGAACCCUAUCCUUUUAUGCCGAGUUCCCAUGAAGAGUUUCUUACCAUUAUUUCAGGGAAAGUAACAUUGUCAGUCCAGAAGUGUUUCAAGCUGAUAUUUUCCUUUAGCGUCAAAGCAAAAAAGAUCUAGAACCAUUCGAGAAUCAUUUUCCCAUCGACCAAAAAAAAAUUUUAAAGUGCUUGAAAAUUCAGUCAAAAUAUUUUAAGCACAUUUUCUUUCCACACAAUUACUUCGAUUUCGAGCUCGCUUACACUCAUUAAAUCACAUGUUUGAUUAUCUCAUUUCUUGGCUAUCUUACUGAAAACUCCUCACACUGCUGGCAAUAAUGUCCUAAGAAUGCAGAGACUGCAUUUUGGCAUUGACUGUUUGACGGCAGCCCAAAGUGCGUAUGUGUAAUAUCUAUAGACAGCCCAACAGUAACAAAGUUCAAGGGAUUUUUUUCGGGAGGGAGGGAGUAACGGACUAAGCCGACAAGCGGGCGGCAGAUUGGAGCUGUCAUGAAGUAAAUGCAACGUCGCCAAACGCCAACGCCAUCGAACCGUUCCCAUCUUCAACAUCAUUGCAAUCAUCAUCCCUAUCAUCAAUGAUGAUGAUUCAUCAUCCCUAUCAUUAAUGAUGAUGAUGUUGCUAUUGUCUUUUGAAAAUAGAUUACCCUGUUAUUUUAUUGGGACGAUAUACGCAAUGUAUUAAUGUAAAUGCAAAACAAAGAAAAUCGUUGUUUUUUCUUAUUAAAGAAAAACCACACAAAAAAUAUUUUAAGAAACUUAAUAAAAAAUUCGUUUAAUUACUGAUAGGAUAUCCCUAGAAGCGUAAGAUUUACCUUUUUGAUUGCAAUUCUUUUUUGUUCAAUUUUUAAAGAAAGCACAGGCAGCUGAGAAGGAAAUCGACAGACACGCAAAGUAUAUAGUAACAUACUCGUACAUAUGUAUUACUUGGCAUUUAUCUCGACUUUGAGCACUCUCCACCCUUAAGCCCCAGCCGCAACCCCAUGUUUUCCAUCUGUUCCACAUUUAACGAGAAUAAUUGCAGCGACAGUUCGGCGCUACUGCACUUACUCCGGCAAUGGAAACGUCAGGCAGUAACAUUACCCCACUCCCUGGCGAUGGAAAAAGUCUUUGAAUCUCUUUGAUGAAAUAUUGAAAUUGUUGGUUGCUGAUGUCGGGUAUAGUACUCGUAUGGUCGGAAUACUUGGGGUCCGGCCAACAUUGAAUCUCGAUUGGGGGACUGGGCUGGGAUUCCAAGGGGUCUGUCACGUGGUGCCCAUUGGACGGUCCGAACUCUUAGCCCGGCCCUUGUUGUGCUUGUUGCGGCGUCAAGUAGAUCGUUAUAAAUUGCUCAAUUAUAGGAGAGCAAAGAAAAUGCAUUUUAGUGUAAAUAAAUAAUGACUGCUUGCUCUCAGGCUCUACAUUAUCUUGUGAUAUAUGGCCCCUGACAUUAAAACAGGAAUCAGGCUUGAAGGGCUGUCAAUGGUAAAAGAGAGCGACUAGUCAUGACGUCAGCUUAAUGAAGGCUGGCCGAAAAAAGGAACUCACGGACUGUAUAUUUAUAAACCGUGUCAACUGCGUAUGGUUCCAUAUUUUUGUGGGACAGCUACAUUUUUGCUGUUUCAAAUUUCUCGCCGCUGGAAACCAGCUUUAAGUAAGACGAACAAUUUCAAAAAUAAUAUAAGUUCCGGUGAUAAGUAUUUUAAUUAACUUGUCCGAAAAUUCAAAGAAGCAAGCCUAACGGGAAUUAAUACUAAUUUAAUUAAGGCUAAUAUUUUACUUUAUUUACAUACAAAUCUUUACAAAGGAGAUUAGACCGAAUAGUAAUAUUAUUAGGGGAGUUUCCAUAUAAAAAGCUUAUUUAGAAAUGUUAAAACUGGCCUGUUUGCUGUUUUUCUGCCGCAUUUUGAUGUUGGUAAUUAAAGAUAAAUUACAUUGAGGUUAUUUUUCCCCUCGAGUUUUUAGUAUUAUUUAAAUAUCUUUUUUAUGUACACAUUUACAACCAUAUUUCAUGUUGUUUGUUUUCAGCAUUACAAAACUGUUCCGGUUUUGUUUUGGUUUGAAUUGGAACAUUGUUUAGUUCUUAUUGCUGCUAUCUGGCGAGAGAAAAUCUUCGACCUUCUCAGAGGAAAAUUUAUAGGACAUAGGACAGUCAACAGUGUGAUAGUUUUUAAGUCCACAGCUUAUUUCGCUAUUUUUUUCAGACCACUUUUUAUUUAUUUUUAAAUACCAAUUGACAUUAGUGGCGUCUUCCGUUUAACAAAUUUUAAAUUGCAAGUACAAUUUUUUUCACAGGUAUAAAUUUCUCAGCAAUAUUUGGGAUGGGUGAUAACUUUGCAUAAAAAAAUCAAAAUUUGAAAAAAAAAAAAAAUUAAUUUUUUUAUAGUUCGGGUACCGGUAAUUUAGCUAUCAAUGCUUUUAAUACAUUUAUAAUUGGUAUUGUAUCAUGUAAUUCGCACUAUGUAUUGUUGUUGAAGUCGCCGAUUCUUGUUUCCAUUAUUCAUUCUCCAUUUUCGUUGUCUCAGCGUAGAAUUUCUUUUUUUGUGAAUGUUGUUUUGUAUUAUUUUGCUGAGCAUCAACACCAGAGUCCAAAGUCCAUAAUGCAUCACAUUGUUAUUGUUGGUGCUGCUGGAGCUGGUACUUCUCUUUUGAUUUUUCUGUUUUGGUUUCAGUUUUUUACGAAAGUGGUAGAGCCACAAGCCCCAAUAAAGUCAUGGGUGUGCUGGUGCGCUUCGGUGUUGCAGACAAGAAAAACGCCGCAAAACGUGGAAGAAUAACAACAGCAGCAAGACAACAGAUACAAAAUAUAUGUAAGGAAUAAAAAUAACUGUGAAAAAAUACGAGGAGUAAUGUGUAAAAAAAUGAGUUAAGAGAAAACCCUCCGUUUGGGCGUUCAUAUCGGCAAAACACAUGAGCUCCAUAGGUAUUCUUGCAGUUGUUGGCUUUUAUCGCCUCUUCUUGAACUGCAAAUUUUACGCUGUAUAGCAUGUCCGUCUGUCCGUCCGUCUGUCUGUCCGUCCGUAUGAACGUCGAGAUUUCAAAAACUAUACAAGUUAGAAAGUUGAGUUUAAGUAUACAGACUACAGAGACAUAGACGCAGCGCAAAUUCAUGUUGCCACGCCCACUCUAACGCCCACAAACCGACAAAAACGGUCAGUGUUGAAAUUUCUCUUCGCACAUCCACUAGCUGAGUAACAGGUAUCAGAUAGUCGGGGAACUCGACUAUUAGUUGCCGAGUCGAUCUAGACAUGUGAUUCUCUAUAAAAGCUGGAGAGUGGGCGUGUCCAAACUGUUUUUUCCAAAUCGAUCGGGGAAGACAAAUAAAGAAAAUGGGCGUGGCUGUUUUAAGCGCUUAAACAUAAAGUUCCAUAAUUACAGCAUAAGAUCAAAUGUAUGGAAACAAAAGGCAAUUUGGCGCAAUAUGGCACGUUUUGUAUUAACGCGGGAAAGUAGGUUUCUGCCGUAGAACGUGACGAAAAUUGAAUUUUCUGUUCUUGGUUAUAACACUUUUGUGAAUUUAACGGCUGAAUAGUGUCUUCGUAUCAUUCCAUUUCGUCUGGAAGAUAUGAAUGUGUGCGGGCGAAUUCAUUUGCAAAUAAUGUCAGGCUAGGUCUGGAAAUUGGUUGUAAAUCGAUACUAACAACAAAAAGAUUUGGAACUGGGACUUCACUAUUUGUGCCAUCAGAUUAAAGAACGUCCUGAAGGAGGGGGUCUAUUGAUUGGGGAUAAGACAGGUUUUCUUAAAUCUGCUGAAUUUAUGGAUAGGUCUACAUUUAACAUUUUCAGAAUGUUCAGUUUCAUUUUCACAUUUUAAUAAGAGUUCUGUGAAAAAAAUUAUUAAUUUUAUUUAGUUAUGCUCUUGUUAGGGAGUAAUUUUUAAUAACCAUUUUGAAUGGAUUAUUUUUUAAUAGUAAUUUACCUUGGCUUACACGCCCUUCUUUUCUCUACUUUUUCUUCUGUACAUUGGGUGACUCCCACAAGGCUAUGUGGGUGUAGGAAAUGCAGACGGAGAUGGAGAAAUGUAAACUUUCUGUGAGGAAAAUGUGGUGGCGGUCGAUAGGUGGUUGCUGUAGAUGUUGGUCGCGUUGGUGGCGCCGGUCAGCCUAACAGUAACGCAGGCUGAUGUUAUAAACUUUGUAAUUAUUGCAUUUACUCUCAUUUACCACUGUGAUAAGUUUGUUGUUGGUGCUGCCGGUCGUUAUUGUCGGCGCACACGGGCCGCUUAAAACACGAGGAAAAACAUAGAAUUAAGUUGAAGCGAAAUGGUCAAGAGAGGAAUGCAAAGACGCAGUGGCGGAAAAGAAUAAAAAUUGCAAUGGAGAACAAUCACGCCUGUCGCCACGUAGCCCCAGCCCUAUUCUCAACCACCAUUUUCGUUCUAAUCCCAGACUUAAGAACUGCAGCCCCAUCACAGCUAGAGAUGUUUGGUGCAUGAAAUAUGAAUUGAAAUAAUUAAAAUAAAAGAGAAAUAUGUAAGUAAUAGCUUUAAGAUGAAGAAACUCAUUAAAGCCAAAGACUAACAUGCGUUCGAUAACUGAGUUGCUGCGAUGAAUACUGAAAAUAAAUACACAGGUGAAAGAAAAAUAAAAUGAAUUACAAUAACGUCCUGCAAUUACGCAGGUGGAAAAUGGAGAUAAUACGGCUAAGUCGUGUCCUACUGGCGGCAAGUGUCAUACGCCUGGGCAUUGUUUGGCCCCAGUUCUCCCUCACCAUUUCAACUGCCAAGAAUAAUUUGGUUAUAAGAAAGUUAUUUAAGUAAAAUUACUAAAAUGUACUCAAUUGCAAUAAUUUGCCAUAAGAGAAUUCCAAGCAAAUGAUCCGAACUGGAUUACCAGGAAGUUGAUCAAGAAAUUACCUGAAUAGUUCUUUAGGAAUAUGCAAAGCUGGAUGUGUGCAAUGGAAAGGUAAACAACUUGAAAAUAUUAAAGGGAAUUUAGCGUUACCAAGAAAACAAAACAGAUUUGGCUAGUUUCAAAACGUGUUUCAAUCUAUAAGAACAAAGUGCAAAGUGGGGCUCAGUAUUUGGUAUUCAUAAUUGGGACACGAAAGCACAGAAAGGAUAAUCGACAUCCAUAUAAAAUUUGUAAGAUAUAUUGAUAACAAGAUAAAUCCACAGUUUAGUGUUACCUUAUUAUUAAUACACUAUAAAAUGAAAAAAUUAAAUAACAAAGAUAAAAUUAGACAAAUAAUUAGAGAGAUAAGUUCAUAAGUUCAUUGUCUGAAAGCCAAUUACGUUUAAUAGAUGCGAACUUAUGAUUAUCGACUUAAGAAAAUUAAUCCGUAUUACCCUAAGAAUUAAAGUGAAAAAGAUUUUAAAUAUAAAAAUAUUAAUUUGCGGUUGAAUAGGCUGCGGGAAUAAAAAAGAGCAUCAUUAAGCCUGACGUGGACUCAAAUUUAUUCGCGAACCCCCCACUCACUUACCACCCCCAUCUACUACUGUUUCUGACAAGUGCAACGGUAAAUUGCCAUUCGAUAUGCAAAUGGCAGCCGCGUUCAAAAAACGCUGCGCGUUUCAAUUGCUUUUCUUUGCAUAGAAAACCAUUUAACUUUCUGUUCAAUGCCAAUCAUUGGCACGCUACAUACACACCGGCUAUAUCAGUUCCGGUUUACUGGAUAGGUGAAAAAAGCAGAUGUGGAGAAAAACUAAAGGUACCAUGCAAGUACUGCGGCUGAAAAAUCAAACAAUCAAACGCUUACUUUAAAAUUAUAAACAUUCCCUGGCUUUACGGAAAACACCUUUCAAUUAAGCUCCUUUGAAACUAAUAUUGGAAUUAUAAAUAACAUAUUAUAGAGUAUAAUAACCAACUAUAAUAUAAUAUUAAUGCUAAAAGCAUUCGCCAGAGCUAUGCGCGUUAGGAUAUGUAACAGGUAGAAGACAGCGUUUCCGAACUUAUACAUAUUAUAUUAUACUGUACAUAUAUAUACAUAUUAUAUACAUAUGUAGAUGUCCUCAUGAACAAGUAUUCACAAAAAGCUAUUUUUUGUAACGCCAAUAACCGAGUGAAGGUAAAUACGCAAUGAGCUCCCAUAGAUUAUAUAUGACAUAACACAACGAUAGUAGGAAAAGCAUCGAUUUUAUUGGAUUUAUUUGCAAAAGCCCUUUCUCCACUUUCGUCCAGUGGCUGUUUACUUUAAUCGUUCGCGGUACAGGUUUUUUCCCGGCUUCCCGCUACUUAGCUUCAACCACAAAAACAACGUUGUUUAAGCGCGGUGCGUGUGGGUAGAGGGGGUAAUAAAUCUUGGAAAUUAAGUCAGAAAAUGUUUCUCUGUUCCACACACACACACAGACACAAAGCACCCACUCAGAGGGGUCAGGGGGCCAUAUCGAAGUUAGAGCCACUUCCGUUUGGAUUUCCUUGUGUGUAUGUGUUCGUUUGCUUCUUGCGGUUCCUUGAGUGGGUAUGCGAAAUUAAGUGCCGGAAAGAUAUGCGUAACAAAUGCCCAAACAACGCUCUGUGGAAAGGUAUCCUUCGGUAUCAGAGCCCCCUUUAUCAUUUCUCUUUUUAUAGAUUAUAAUUAAGGUAUAGCUAUAUUUAACGGUAUAGCUAUUAACUAGUUUAAAUGAAAGCGAAAGCACACUAAGCAUAACCAGAAGUAGAUCUAAUAAAUUUAGACUAACCAUUUA